rnacentral:lncRNA from 1 species
GAUUCGCAUGGGCUGCGUGAAGCAGGCCCCAUGAGUUGGGCCGCGAGCUGUGCAUUGUGCUGGAUGGGCCUGUUCUUAGCCCAUUCGUAUACGGCACGCAUGUUUAGCCCCUCAAGCCUGCGCACACGUGGCUUAGUGGGCUGUGAGUGUGGGCGCUAUUGUGCGCUUGUGUGAUGUUUGUGUAGGCACGCGUGGACGUGGGGCGUGCGAACUGGGCCACAUGCUCGGCACAUGUGUGGGUAGCCUUAUUCCCACGGGGACCUC